rnacentral:piRNA from 1 species
UGUCAUGCAAUAUUGGCCUUUGUUCAG